rnacentral:rRNA from 1 species
GACGAAGGUGGCGAGCGUUGUUCGGAAUCACUGGGCAUAAAGCGCACGUAGGCGGUGUCGUAAGUCGGAUGUGAAAUCCCUCGGCCUAACCGAGGAACUGCGUCCGAUACUGCGAUGCUUGAGGAUCAGAGGGGUGCAUGGAAUUUCCGGUGGAGCGGUGAAAUGCGUAGAUAUCGCUUGGAACGCCAACGGUGAAAACAGGUUGCUGGGGGUGUGCUGACGCUGAGACACGAAAGCCAGGGGAGCGAACGGG